rnacentral:lncRNA from 1 species
GAGGGAUGGAGCAGAGGAGAGAGAUGGUGGCUGAGACCCGCCUGAGGAUUCACCAGGGAGCAGCCUCGGCGACCUCAUCCAAGGACAGCCAGCCUGUCAGCAGGAAGGGUGGGGACCCGCAGAGCUAGGACCUCGCUACCCGGCCAGCCUUUUGCCUUCGAGAGAGGAAGAAGGGAAGGGAUGGGAACGCCCGGACGAUGCAAGCCCUCUAGGGCUGCGGCAGCCUUUACCUUUGUACGCCCAAGCGGUGACACGGCGCAGCCCGCAGGGGCUGUUCCACUGCCCCGAGAGCCACUGGGUCCCGCGCGCCCCUGGGGCUGCCGCAGCCACUCCUGAGCCGACUGCUGCUAAAAGAGGAUCCGGCUCAUCCCAACUCUUGAUUAUCCCAGAAGAGAGCUCCUAGCGUUGUAAGCGCUCACACAUGCUCUCCGCUCCUCUCUCUGCCUCUUAGGGAUAGGAACGUAUUUUGGGAGGCAUUCAAAUAUCCCAAGCCCCAACUUCAGCCUGCUCUGGUUCCCAGAUCCCAGCUAGGUAUGGCUCUAACUGGUCUGGGGGAACAGCUAUGGCCUCACAGCAUCCCUAUGCUCCUUGCUUUGUGUGCAUGACCCCGGAGUGUGGGGUUGAGUAGCCCUUGCUUUUGCAACUUAAUUGAGUUUUACCAUGUUUAAAGAAUGUAUUUUAUUCAGCUGAGUAGACAUUUUCUGCUCAACUGUCUUCAAAACAGGACUGACAAGUGUUCUAAGGAGAUACUCAGGGCUAGCAUCACUCACUCACAACUGUAGAAACUGGAACACUUCAAAGAGGAAUUCAGGAUCUUCAGGUUCUUGAAUUAGUUCAAAGCAGUCUUAUAAACACAAUUUUCUUCUCAAGAACAGUCACCAUGGUCAUUGAGGAUAAGCAAUAGCUAUCAGGAACCCUGGACAUGGUACAGAAUGGUGAGAAUUGGAAAUGACUAGUAGUACAGUGAUCUAUAUUAUCAUCAUACUGGGCCAGGCCAUAUCAAGCUCCAUAUCAAGCUACUACAACCAGAAUUGGAGGAGGCUAGUCUAAAUGACCCUUACAGCAGGGGCUGUUACUUCUGUGUGUCUCUGCAAAGAUUCAGAGACUUUUUGCUGUUGUUGCAAGAGUAGAAGAAACCAGAUAUGUGGAAAAUUCGGAUUUUUUUCAAGUAUACAAAAAGGAAAAUCUUUUAAUGGUUCUGUUGAAGCUCACAGUUUUACUGCCAAGUAUAUUUAUUUACAUAUUUCCUUAAAGCAUCUCAUUUAUUUUAGUUAUUAAAUUAUGUUUAUUUACUUGAGCUAUUAUAGGCAGUUUCUUUGAAUUAUAAAUUGUAUUCAAAGCCUUAAGGCAUCCUAACUCAAAUUGAGAGAAUAUACACUUUUGUUCUUUUCUUAUACUAAAUUGAUCAUGGAGACAAGUGUACACUGUGGCAUUGUGUUUAUGAUGUGUGAUUGAAGGCCAUGAUGAAGUUAUAUAGUUGAUAUUUGAAUGACCCUUAAAACAAAAUUAUCACAGAAGUAAAAAUACAAUGGAAACAACCCUAUAUGUUUUAUUAACAUGUGGAACUCUACAGCAGUAAUUGCUGAUAGUGAUAAAAUACUUUUGGUUUAUCAGAGACAGCUUUAGAACACAGGGCUGCUACGUGCCUGCCUCAUCGAUCUAAAUGAGCUCUCUAAAAUCUUCCUGUGGGAUCAAACAGGAGGACUCCAUUCUCCAGUGACCUAACACUUAAGUGUGGCUCAUUCUUAAAAUAAUAUUUUCCACUGGAGGUUGGUUGCUUGGAACACUGAAUGGCUUACUCCUUGUAAGACAUAAUCCAAAACCUCCUGCCAGAGACUUAUGGAAUACCUACAUACACUCAGCAAAUGAAGAAUUUAUUCUCCGAUGUCUUUCUAUGUUACACAUGAUAUAGAAAGCUGCCUGGUCUAAACUUGGCUGAGUUAAAUUUAAAUGUAUUUGCCAGAAUAAAAUUCCC